rnacentral:lncRNA from 1 species
GGAUGGGUGGGUGUCUUCCUUAAAUCUUUAGAGUUAGAAGCAUUGGGAGCGGAAGACGAUGUUGAUAGCAGAGUUAUUGCGCUGGAUAACCGAACCUCUCCACAUCAUGCAGCCAUUGAAAAGGCAGAGCUCAGGUAACCACCAUUGUCAUUUUCCUCUGGAUAUCUGUCCAUCAUCGGAUGCUUGUUUUUUUUUUUUAAAUAUCCAAGCAGUUGAGAAUUUGAUUGAGAGAGGAAAGGAGAAGCGAACUAGACGAGUUGUUGCGCUGGAAAACUGAACCUCUCCACUUCAUGCAGCCAUUGAAAAGGCUCAAGCAGUGCUCAGGUAGCCACCACCGCCAUUUUCUCUGGAUAUCUAUCCAUCUUUGGAUUUGUUUUUUUCUUUUCUUUCAAUAUCAAAGCAAUACUAUGAUUGAGCUACUCGCCAGCUUGAACUAGAGUUUCUUGAGAAGGUAAGAACUUGUUUGUUGUUGUCUCACUUUACCAUCUCCUCGAUACAUUUGUUGCCGUUGCAAUCCCAUUUAAUAAAGAAGAAUUUCCAUUCUUGUGUUGUAGGGAGGCAAUCCCUCUUCUUCCUAUUCCUCAAAAUCUUCUGUACCGGCCUUUGUGGACUCUCGCUUUGCGAACUCAAUCGACCAAGCCCAAGGCAAUCCUCACGAGAUCCCUUAAGUGAUGGGCUUCCUGUUCAAUGGCCCACAUGAAGCCCUUGAAGCUUCAUCAAUGUUGAUAGCGAAUCGAGAUGCCAGUACAAGUUGAAGAAUGUCAAAGGUAAGGCUCCCGCCACCAAUUUAAGAGCAUCUCGAGAGCUAUCCAACUCUCUUUCAAAGUAAGGUACGAGAAAGGGGAACCCUCAGCUAAGGUCCUCCCCCCUCCCUCGGCUCCUCAGCAUUCUCGCCGCUUGGCCAUGAGUGCCAUUCGCCCCUUACCUUUGCUAUGAAGAUCUUUAUUUGGAAUAGAAGGGUUUGGACCACCCAGGAAAACAACAAAUAUUCAUCAAUUUGUUUCAGAGUAUUCUCCCUCCCUUCUUAGUUUUGUGGAAACCAAGUUUCCUUCCCCCAGUCUCCUAAAUUCAAAAUAUUUGGGGUCUUCCCCUAGCAGUGGUUAGCUCUGGAUGGUCCCAUCUCAACACGCCUUAGUUGCCUCUCACAUUAGCAAGUUCUCUGUCAUAGUGACCCUAGCUAGGAUCACUGAUUUCCUCCAUUAGAAGUGCAUUGUGGUCUAUGAACUAUAAGAAGACAACGAGAAAUUGAACGUUUUGAGAGAGUUACAAUCUUUGAUGACCUCCCUUUUUCUUAGUGGUGCGUAGGAGGUGAUUUUAAAAUCACCAGAUGGUCUUACAACCGUAAUUCCCACGACAAAACUGCCCCUUCAAUGGUAUAGUACUCUGAUUUCUUAGCUCAUAACAGUCUUUUAGACAUCCUGGUUGAAGGAGCUGAGUUCAGUUGGUCUAGUCAUUCGGCUAAUCCAAGUCUCUCAAAAUUAGAUAGAUUUUUAACCCCUAUCGAGUGGGAUCAUGAGUUCCCUGGCACCCACUCUCUGGUGCUUCCCAAGCCCGCCUCAAAUCAUAGAUCUAUCUUGCUGGAGACCCAAUCCCUUCCUCGAAGGCCUAAGCCUUUUCGCUUUGAGCUGUCUUAGCUCUAAGAGCCCGGCUUCCCCUCUCCCGUCUAUAACCAUUGGGAGUCCUUCUCCCCACUUAUGAAUGGGUGGGCCCGUUUUAUCUUGUAGAAAAAGCUUCAAAUGCUCAAAGUUCUCCUGAAAUCAUGGAGUUCACAUCUCCCUGGAAACUUAUGAUACCCAAAAGACUCCCUUUUGAGGUCUAUUCAACACUGAGACUUCAUUGAAGAACUUAGACCUCUCUCCCCUUGUGAGCUGGAUUCUCGAUACAUCCACAAACAUGAUUACCAAUGCCUCCUAAAGAAAAAAGAAAUUUUUGGAGCUCAGCGGGCCAAAGUCAAUUGGCUCAAGCUUGGCAACCAAAAUAUAGCUUACUUCCACAAGAUAGCCAACUGUUGAAGAAGGGAUAACUCUAUUACCCACUUCAAGGUGUGGGACCAAAUUGUUGACCAUGAGUUCCCUGGCACCCACUCUCUGGUGUUUCCCAAGCCCACCUCAAAUCAUAGACCUAUCCUGCUGGAUACCCAAUCCCUUCCUCGAAGGCCUAAGCCUUUUUGCUUUGAGCUGUCUUGGCUCUAAGAGCUUGGCUUCCCCUCUCCUGUCUGUAACUAUUGGGAGUCCUUCUCCCCGCUCGGUGGGCCCGUUUUAUCUUGUAGAAAAAGCUUCAAAUGCUCAAAGUUUUCUUGAAAUCAUGGAGUUCACAGCUCCCUGGAAACUUAUGAUACCCAAAAGACUCCCUUUUGAGGUCUAUUCAACACUGAGACUUCAUUGAAGAACUUAGACCUCUCUCCCCUUCUGAGUUGGAUUCUCGAUACAUCCACAAACAUGAGUACCAAUGCCUCCUAAAGAAAAAAGAAAUUUAUUGGGCUCAACGGGCAACCAAAAUAUAGCUUACUUCCACAAGAUAGCCUACUGUUGAAGAAGGGAUAACUCUAUUACCCACUUCAAGGUGUGGGACCAAAUUGUUGACCAUCCCAAUCUCAUUGAGGCAGUGGCUGUCGAAUAUUUUUCCAAGUUUUUCUCUUCCAGUUCUAGUCCUAGGCCAGUGCUGACGGACCUCUCUUCUCUUCUAUUUUUCCCGAAUCUACAGCCUCUUUGGAAAGCCCUUUUUAAGAGGACAAAGUACUCCAGGCCAUUAAAGAUCUCAAUGGAGACCGAUUCCCCCAGCCGUGACAAGUUCUCCAUAGCCCUCUUCGAAGUCUUUUGGGAUACCCUUAGGACUGAUAUCAAGGCCUUUUUUUUUUAAUUUCAUUCUCGAGCCACUAUCCAUAAGGUGAUGAAUGCCACUUUCAUUGCCAAGAUCUCCAAGAAAGAGGGAGCAGAAGAGCUUAAAGACUUCAGAGCCAUUAGUCUGAUUAAUACUUCUUACAAAAUUCUCUUAAGGGCCUGGCUUCCCGCCUUAAAUGCAUCCUUGGUCAGGUGAUCGUAUCAUCCCAAGGGACCUUUGUGAAGGAAUGCUAGAUUCUUGAUGGGCUUCUAAUAGCACACGAAUGCAUACAUUCCCGCCGUAGUGCAAAAGUCUCAGGCUUGGUAAUAAAAAAUCUUAUGAUCAUGUGGACUGGGUUUUAUUGAUGAGACUUUGUCCAGAAUGCCAUUUGGCUCUCUAUGGUGGAGAUGGAUCCAAGGGUGUAUUUCAAAACCGUAAUUUUUGGACCUUAUUAAUGGCACAUCUAAGGGUUACUUUCAUGCUUCGAGAGGGCUCCACCAAGGGGACCCCCUUUCACCCUUACUAUUUACCACAGUGGUUGAGGUGUUCAGUGCCUCACUAUCUCAUGUGUACAGCGCGGGAUGCAUUUCGGGUUUCCAAGUGGCUAGGUUGGGUCUCUCGAUAUUCUACCACCAAUAUGGCAAUGAUACCCUCCUCUUUUGCGAUGCAUUUUUUAAAAAAUUUAGUUGUUUGUUGCUCUUCCUCCAAUGCUUCCAGUUGGCUAUGGGCCUUAGGGGGUGAACCUAGAAAAAACUAAGAUGACAAGAAUCUGCCUUGACCAAGCCAGAGUCAAAUGCUUCACUGACUCAUGGGGAUGUGCUGUAGAGCCAAUGCCGGCAUCCUAUCUUAGCCUUCCAUUUUGCAUUGGCCUUCCUCGAAUCUAGUUAUGGAGCCUGGUUAUAGACAAAGUCGAGUGGCACCUGGCUUCAUGGUAAGGGAGAGUCCUUUCACCAAGCUGCAGAGUGAUCCCUAUCAAGGCCACAAUUUCCAGCAUUUCCCUUUUCUUUAUUUCCUUUUUCUUUAUGCCAACGGUCGUAGUCGCUAGACUGAAAAAACUCAUGAGGGCUCUAAGGCUACUCAAUGCAUUGAAGGGCAAAGUGAAGGAAGUCAAGCCCCAAGCAUGAGAGCUUAUGUAUGUGGAAGUUUCUAUCAAUGGAAAACCUAUUAAGACUAUGAUAGACACCAGGGCUACACGCUACUUUGUGGCCGAUCAAGAGGCACGUCGGCUGAGCCCCAGCUACUGGAUGGUCUCUCACUAAAUUCAAAUACUUGUGAGCGUCGUUCAGCCUCCUUUCAAGGGAAGGGAGGCCUGAACUUGCCGCGCUCCCUCCCUCACUUGCCCCUGACAACGAAGCGAGAAUUGAAUCAAUUACUUGUUUCAGUUAGCCUGCUUUCAAACUAGCCGUACUCGAACCGACCCCGUAGACACUACGAAACUUGACUCCUUAUUCACCUCCUCCCCACUCACAUUCCUACUCCCGUGGUAGUUUCUUUUGUCUGGCCCGUAACCCUUCCUCUUCCGUGGCAGAAAGCGUUACUGGUCCACCUAAUGCGACAUCUUGGAACCCAAAUUUCAGGAGACUCUUAGUUGACCACAAGCUUCACCACUUUUUGAAUCUCUCGGUCUUGCUCUAUUCGAUAUUUUUUCUCCCACAAGCAAUGACAAGAUUGCCUGAUCCCCCUGUCCAUCAGGUUCAUUCAUAGUUGCUUCAUUUAACUAAAGCUUGUACUCCCUGCCUUCUCCUCCGCUCUCGGCCUUUCCCUCUAUAGCCCAUAAGGCUGUGCUCCUUUUUGCCCCCAAAAUCCAGCUUUUUAUUUGGAUAGCGCUCCAUGAAAGGGCUUUGACACUCGAUCAACUUUAGCGAAGGGGUAUCCCUUUGCCUAAAAAAUGCACCAUGUGCCUCAAAGCUGAAGAAACAAUCAACAUCUAUUUCUAAAUUGCGAGGUUGCCUUGGCCCUUUGGACCGACCUUCUUCUUCUAUUCAAGUGGUUGUGGGUCAUUCCCCAAUAGAUCCCUCACCUCUUCUCCUUAUGCCUUAGAACUCCUUGGAAAAAUUUAGAAAAUCUUCUAUGGAGAGCUUCCAUCUCAACCACUCUUUGGACCAUUUGAAUUGAGAGGAAUAAUAGGAUCUUUAGUGGGACGAAAGCCUCUACCUCAGCUCUUAUUUAAAAAAGAAGGUCACUUGUCCCAUUCUGAGCCCUAACCCUCCCAAGCUUCUCCAACUUCUCCUUUUCGGAUCUUCACCAAAAUUGGCAAGCAUUGUUGCACGCAAGUACCCACAGGAUUCCUCAAGCUUCUUUAUGGAGGACAUCGAAACCUGGGGCCAUCUGAUGGCUGCUCUCUAGGCAACCAAGGCCCCUUUGGCAUUGGACGCUUGUUUAGGAAUUCUGAAGGCCUGAUCCUCCUUUCUUAUGCUCUGCCUAUCGGAGGUGAGGAUUCCACAUUCGCUGAGGCCAAGUCUCUACUCAAAGGACUCAGAAGAUUUAAUCAUCUUUGGAGCACAAAGGUGUAGGUAGAGGGUAUUCCAGCAACACUAUCGCUUGGGCUUCUGGCAAUGCCCCCUACCCUUGGAGAUUAGAUAACAUUUUUGUCGAAAUUGGCCACAUCUGCAGCAGUAUCCAAGUCUCGUGGAGACAGACUCGUAGGAAUUGUAACGUUGUGGUAGAUGCACUAGCAAGGGAGGGAGCUAGUCUCAACUAUCUCUAGGGGAAUUUGGAGCCCCCCUUAGCUCUCACCUCAUUUUUGGAUCUAUUGUAGAGAUUCUCGGACCCUCAAGGGUUCCUGUAUAGGGCACCCAUUUUUGGGGAUUGCCUAAUUUUUUUUUGUAAUUCUCUAUACAAUCAAUACAAAAGUCAACUUCCUCAAGGAAAAAAAAGAAGGUUGGUUGACUAAUGGGAAACAUGUUCAUUUAUUGCAUUUGGGUUUUAUGCCUGGAGGAUUCAUCAGAAGGUUCAAAACUUUUUCAUUCUAGAUCUUUCUAUUUGGUUUCUGUUCACCUUGAAUUUGGUCGAAUUUGGUUAACUAUUCAUAUUUCUGCCUCUUCUUGUCAGUUUUUUAUUUCUUGUGGGUUUGUUUGGUAGGGGGGAGGGUGUUUGUGUUUGUGUGUGUGUGUGUGCAUGGAAGAGAGAGAGUGAGAGAGAGAGAGAGAGGGAGAGAGAGAGAUUCAUAGAUGAUAUGAAUUGCAUCUCAAGACAUGGAUAUUUUAGUUGACUUGGGAUUUGAUUUCUACCCAUAAUCUGAUGGCAAACUGCCAAUAGAACAUUUGUGAGUAUGAAACUUUGGGAUUAGUCAUUAUUUUGAACAGGGACAACAAAAGUAUAAAUAGCCAUUGAAUAUGGGAAGCAAGACUUUAUUUGUUGUUUGUUUGCCUUUAGCUAGUUGCAUUAUGGAUAUUUGUUGUUUGUUUUGUUAAACAAGAUGGUUUCUCAGUUAUCUCUAUUGUUAAAUCAAUGUAAUUUUUUGUAGGUGGUAGAGCUACGAUUUACCCUAGCAGCACUUGCUUAUGUUUGACACAAAGCCAUGCCGGAUGAAAAGAAUAGUAAGUUAUGCCAGCAGUGGAGGUCUAGCUGUUCAAGCAUUGCAGGCAUAUUUUCAGCUUUGCUGCAGGAGGCUUGGUUGCUUGUUGUACAGGUACUAUUUUAUAUUGUUAUUCUAUGUUGUUGAUCCCCUUAAGCUGGAGGAAUAUCUAAAUAACUAAUUAAGGCUCAGUUCGUAAAAUGGGGGAAUUCUCUGUGUAUUGUAGUCUCUGGUGGUAUUUGCCAUUAUAAGUAAUCUUGUAGUCAUUUCUCACCAUUUCCUCUUAUUCUUUCCAUCCUACUAUGUAUGUGAUUAAAGUACCUUUUCAUUAUACAGUCUCUUAAAUCUAUAUUUUUUUCAGCACUUUUGUCCCAUUAUUCCCCUCUCCUUAUCCCCAGCAGCUAGAGCAAACCAUAUCCAUAUUCCUGAUAUUACAUUGUAAUUGUGCAAGCCCCUCUCUCUCUCUCUCUCCCCCUUACACGAGGACACACACUUGCUCGUACACAUUUGCACAAACAAAAUAAAAUAUAACUGUUGCUACCCAUGAAAGAACUAUUAAGCACAUUUACAAGUAGAACAUUUGCGUCUGGAGUUUUUAGUUAAGCAUAUAUAAAACAAUGAAAAAGUAUACAAAGAGACCAUUUACUUUUUGUACAAGGAGGUCACAAACAUUCAUGUCCUUUGAUCUCAAAUUGGGUGGUUGUAGGAGUGUCAUUAAAUAAACUCAGUUUUAAAAAAAUAUUCUCGGACUGUGACUCACCCUAAGCCAUCAAAUUUGACAUCCAAUGAGUAGGAAUAAUUGUGAACGCCUUAUACAAAAAGUAAAUGGUCUUUUUGUAUACAAUGCCAAGAACAUUAUCUCCUUGCGUGAUCAAUAACGUCUGUUGAUAUCAAUCGACAAUUUGACUCGGGCAUAUGCGUCUCCUAUUUUGUCUAAAUAUGCGUCGGAAUUUUCAAUUUUUGAAAACUCGUUACUCUUAUUUUUGGGACAAUGUCUUCUUCCCAAUCUUCUAGUAACAAGGCUCCAGCUUAGAAAUAUGCUAAACUAAAAAAUCCGAAAGAUAGAAAUUGUGUGAUAUGCUUGCUCUGUGGAAAUACUUAUAUGGGUGGUAUUUUUCGACAAAAAGAGCAUUUAACCGGAAUUUUUGGGAAUGUAAGAGCAUGCCCACAAGCUACAAAUGAUAUAAAAAAGGAGAUUAGAGAAUAUUUGGAUAGAUUGAAAAAAGAUAAAGAGAAAAAAAAAAAGAAAAGAAAGGAAUUACUUGAUGAUAUGCAAUUAUCUGAUGAUGAUGAUACAUCUGAAGUUGCUAUGAGGCAAAGGGGUACUCAUACUCCAACCUCAAGAGAGAGGGUUAUAAAUAUUGGUGGUAAUGCUGAGAGAAGAACACCUCUCUCUAAGGGGCCAAUGGAUUCUUUUUUCACCCCUAGCCCCGAAAUUGCUGUUCAAGAGAGAGAAAAAACCAAAACAAACCACAAUUGACAAUAAAUAUAAGAAAGAACAAAGGAAGUCGGUAUGUAAGUGGAUUGCAAAGUGGAUUUACAUGGCCGGCAUUCCUUUUAAUACUAUAACUUGGGAUAGUUUUGCAUGUAUGGUCCAAGCAAUUGGGCAAUAUGGCCCAGGACUUAUUACUCCUUCAAUACAUGAGGUUAGGGAGCUCUUGUUGAAGGAUGUUGUAUUUGAUGUGAAUAAAAUUUUGAUUUCUCAGAGAAAUGCGUGGGAGAAAUAUGGGGCCACUAUUAUGUGUGAUAGUUGGUUCGAUGGGAAAUCAAGGGCAUUCAUUAAUUUUUUGGUUAAUUGCCCAACAGGUACUUUUUUUUUUAAGUCUAUUGAUGCAUCAGACAAGUCACAUGAUGGUAUCAUCAGACAAGUCACAUGAUGGUACAUACUUAUUUGGCUUGAUGGAUGAGAUUGUCGAUUUGUUGGGGAGCAAAAUAUGGUACAAAUUAUCACUGACAAUGGUGCCAACUAUGCUGCAGUUGGGAAUUUCUUGACUUUGAAAAGGAAGCAUACGUUUUGGACUCUUUGUGCAGCUCACUGUGUUAAUCUUAUGCUUAAGGAAAUAGGUAUAACAUCUUUAUUUAGUGGGGUGAUUUCAAGAGCUAUAUUUGUUGUUGGAUUUAUUUACAAUCACACCAUAGUCCUAAGCAUGAUGAGGUCUUUUACAAAGAAGAGAGAAUUAGUGAGACCGGGUAUGAUUAGAUUUGCCACGUCAUUUCUCACUCUUCGAAGCCUAGCCAAGCAAAUGCCUUGAGGACCAUGUUUGCUUCAGAGCAAUGGAGUCAAAGAAAAUGGUCAAAGCAUAAGGAUGGGAGAAAGGCUGAAAAAGUUAUUCUGAAUACAUCUUUUUGGAGUCAAAUAAUUAUUGCAUGGGAGGUGGCUUGCCUUUUAGUGAGAGUGCUUCGAUUGGUUGAUGGUGAUGCGAAGCCCGCCAUGGGCUACAUACAUGAGGCAAUGACUAGUGCAAGAACUGAAAUAAAAGAUAUUUUAAAGGAUCAUGAAAAUAUACGCAAGGCUAUACUUGAAAUUAUUGAUAGGAGAUGGGAUACCCAGCUUCACAGGCACCUUCAUUCAACCGGUUAUUUUAUAAACCCAUCUCUUCACUACAAGCACCCAUCCAUUGAGUCAUAUCGUGUAAUAAAUGGUGGGUUCUUAGAUGUGCUGGAGAGGUUGGUGCCAGACAAAGAUAUCCAGGAUGAGAUCUAGAGCCAUGAAUUGAUUAAGUUCAACUUAGCCUUGGGAAACUUUGGGAAAGAUAUUGCCACUCGAAAUAGGGACACUACAGAUCCAGGUAAAGGCCAAAAGGCCAAAAAUAAUCUUACUUGUCUCUUACUUUAUGUAUGGUUCCAUUGUUUAUUUUAUACCCUUAAUUUUUAACUAUAUUCUAAAUUAUAAAAUAUUAUACAGCUGCAUGGUGGGCAUUAUAUGGAAGCAAGACACCAAAUCUACAACAUCUCGCUAUUCGAGUGUUGAAUCUCACAUGUAGCUCAUCUGGUUGUGAGCCCAAUUUGAGUGCAUUUGAGCAUGUAAGUCAUUUACUCCUUAUUCCUUAAUCCUUAUUUCUUGAAUUUCAAUUUUCUAAUCUAAAAUCUAAUUUAUCUGAUUUCAAAUUUCUACCACAGCUCCAUACAAAAAAAAGAAAUAGGUUGGAGCAGAAAAAGUUGAAUGAUUUGGUUUAUGUACGGUAUAACGCGCGUCUUAGGGAGAGGUAUGAAAAUCGCACGAAGCUCAACCCUAUUCAAUUAUAUGAAGCUGAUGGUGAUUCUAUAAGUGAGUGGACCAUGGAUCCAAGACAAGAGCAUGUGUUUGAGGGUGAGGAUUGUACAUGGCUUGAUGUCGAGCUAGCAACAGAGGCUAAUGAAAAAGAUCGGCUUAACACUAGAGCACAAAGCAGUAGAGGAGUUGCUGGAUCUAGUCGCAGUCGCACAUUAGCUUCAGAGGUCGAGGAGGAAGCUGACUCAGAGGAGUCUGAUGAAGAAGGAUACAUGAAGGCCGUCGAGGAUGAUAUUGAUGAUGCACAUGACGACUCUCAAGAUGACUUGUCUGAAUGAUAUUUGAAAAAAUGAAGUUCAAAUUUCAAAAUUUACUCUCAAAAUGGAUGAUUGUAUUAAGUUAUUAUUUAUUAACUAUUGACUCUUCUUGAGCUUGACUUUUGAUUUGUAUUUUGUAAUAUCAUUAUUUUGUGCUUAUGGUUGUACUUAUGGUUGUUGAUGGUUGUGUUUAAUUAUAAUUGUACUUGUGGUGCAAAUUUGUGUUGAUGGUUGUUGAUUGUUGAAUGCUUUAUGAAGCUAGUUUCAAGUUUCUAGUUUCUAUCAGGGGAUAGUGGAUAACUGGAUACAAAAUCUCCGACAGCUAAUAGUUUUGAAGUUAAUCAUUAAACUAAAAUACCUACUAUCACAUAUAUCACCUUCAUAUUUUUUUCUAUGCAUUAACUUAUUUUUUUAGAUUUUUUAGAAUUUUUUUCCAUUUAUUGACCGCAUCAUCGCGAUGCACCCGCAUCCAGGCCGCAUCGAGCCCCAUCGCCGCAUCGGCCCCCCACCGCAUUAGGGUCGCAUCCCGCAUUUUAAAACAUUGGCAGGAACUAUGCUCUCACAGAAUAUUUAGCUGUUUCAAACCCAUCCUAAGAAAGCAGGGCACCUAGUCAUUUUCUAAAACUACAAGUGGGAACCAAGAGUUUUUCGAUAAUAUAAAGCAGCAAAUUGGAAUUCAAACUUAUUUUCACGAAGAAAGGGUAAUAAAUUACGAUGAAGAUGGAGGAUUGGGGUAAGUUUUUGUUUCCAUGCUUUCCCUAUGAAAUGAAGAUGAGCUGCAGUUAAUAUUUAGUGUUUAAAUUGAAUGGAUGCUUUGUAUGCUUCAAUAUUCUAAUAGACUAACCAUUGUUCAAAAAAACGGACCGCCUAGGGCAUCGCCAGAAGGCCUGGGCGCAUUGCCCAGGCCUAGGCGGCCAAACUGGGUGGUGGUCCCUGGGUGGCCACCUAGGUGGUACGGAACCCGCAACGGCCGCCUAGCGCUCAGCCCUGAGUGGCCGCUCAGGGCAUGCGCCCCGCCUAGAGGUGGAAAUGUUUUUUUUUGUUUUUUGUUUUGAUUUUUUUAAAAGAUAUAAAAGGUUUGAAGGAGUGGAUUUAGGUUCAUUUGAAACCUAAAUUCACAAGAACCCGUUUUAGAGAGAAAAAAACCUCCAGAAAACUACAUUUCAUUGGAUUGAAGUGUCUCAAAGUUUAGAGUUCGAGCAAUCAAAGUAAGUGCAAAAUUUUAUUUUGUAGAUUAAUUGUUUUAUUUUGAGAUGUCUUCUUCUAGAGUUAGUCGCAGUGGAGAUCCGGGUUGGAAAUAUGGAUACAAUUCGAAUCUAAACGACAAAAAUUGUUUUAGAUGCAAUUUUUGUGAAAAAGAUACAAAAUGAGGCAUAAACCGGUUUAAGGAACAUUUGGCCAGUAUUAAGGGGGUUGCUAGCCGUUGUAAAAAUGUUUUUGAAGCUAUCAGAGAGGAGAUUGAGCAAUAUAUGAGUUAUGGAAAACAAAAACAAGAACAAAAUCCUUGUCAUCGAUUUAUUUUUGCUACUUCUAGAAGAAGUGAUCCGGAUUGGAAGUAUGGGUACAACCCAAAACCAAAUGAUGAAAAUUGUAUAAGGUGUAAUUUUUGUGAAAAAGAUAUCAAUAGGGGUAUUAGCCGAUUCAAACAACACCUUGUUGGUGUUAGAGGUAAUGUUGCUUCUUGUACAAAGGUUCGUGAAGCAGUUCAGGAUGAGAUUAGACAUCUUUUGAAUUUAGAAGACCAGAAAAGGUUGAAAAUAAGCAUUGUUCCAUGGAAGUAUCUUCUCUAGGUUCUAGUCGGAGUGGUGAUCCGGGAAAGUAUGGUUAUAACCUGAAUCCAAGUGAUAAAAAUCGUAUUAAAUAUAAUUAUUGUGGAAAUGAUACUAAUGGGGGCAUUUACCUGUUUAAAAAACAUCAUGCCGGUAUUAAGGGGAUAAAAAUGUUCCUGAGGCUACCAGAGAAGAAAUUAUACAAUAUUUGAGUUCAGAUAAGUACAAAGAAAAGGGUAGAGUAGCCAAGACUGCUAAGGCCUCAUCUGCACAGGCUGCAUAUACUAGUAAGAGGAAGGUAGAAGAAGAUGAGGAGUAAAAGGCAGAUUCAGAAGAAACAGAGGAAGACGAGCGUUUAAGAGGGAGAUGACUCUGAUGAUGAUGGCCUCGACUCUAAUGCAUAUGAUUAGACUGUAUAUUUUCUAAAUUUAUGUAUAUUUCUGUUGUAUAGAGUGUUGACUUUUAUAUCCUACACUUUUAUGGUUUUACAAUUUACUGUUUUAACAAUAAGGAUUAUCAAAAUUCUCUUCUCGACCUCUAUCUUUUUUUUUUCAACUUGGAAUAUGGUAUUCGGUAAUUUGGUAUUUGUUUUCAACUGGCCACCUAGGCACUGGGCGGGCUGGAUCCCCAGGCCGCCUAGGACCCACCUAGCGUUUUUUGAUAUGCUGGCACUAACCAUGGUAUUGUUGGACCAAACCAUGUGAAGUUAUGAACAUUUGUUGCCAUGGGAUGUGUAGGGUUAUAUGCAUGCUCAUGAGUGUGGCUUGCUGCUGGACGUCAAUAAGUGUUAGAAGGCUUAUCAUCUUAAACAAGGGAGUCGAAAGUGAAAAUAGUCAAGUCUUUUGGAAGAAGAAGAAACAUAAAACUAGGAGAUGCAGGAAGCUUUUCUCAGUAAUGCAUAUUUACCUUAGGAUAUAUUCUCUUUUUAUAAUUCUUUUCUGGCAUGGAAUGAGAAAUGGAGCAUCAACAUGUGAACUUGUGCAAAUAUAGGGCUCCUGGUAUUAAGAGGAUAUGUUAUUUUCUGAGAUGGGAAAUGGAACCUUUAUUCUUCCUUGUUUUUUAUCCAAAUCAGAUGUAAUUGUCAUUCAGAAUUGGGUUGGUUUGGAAACGUAAGGGUGGUGUCUAUCAAUUUCAGAGUAGUAUUUGUUAUGUUUCUAGACUGACAGCAUAUCUGUGAACUUUUAGGGAUUGUACCUUUUAUAAUUGACACGCCUCUGCCAUUUAGUGGUUUUUUAUUUUUUUUAUUAUUUUAUUAUUUUUUGUUAAUAAAGAUACUUGACUAUAAGGAAUGUUUCUUCAUGGAGAAAAAGGACUACGAACUAUGGUUUCAUAUAGCUGUGACUUAUUCCUAGAUGCAUCUGAUUCCCAGUGAGCCAACUCAUCUACCACUAUAUUUAUCUUCUGAAAAAUGUAUUUAACAAGUUAUUGAGAACUGGUCUUGGUUCUAUUAGUUCUUUUUAGUUCUUUUAAAACUAUUGAUGGCUUUCCAAAUUUUCAAGAUCACAAUGGCAGUACCGAACUUUUUAAAACUGAUGGCUCAUCUGCACUUACUCCUAUCUUACCUCUGUUUUCUUGGUUACUUAAAAAAUGUUCUCCUUUGUUUUUUUUUUUUUAAUAGACACAUCAUUAAUUGGGAUGGGUAACUGUUGUGACCUAUAAUCCCUUUGCCAGAGCCCUACAUGCCCACAAUUUAGCGAUUUUGUUAUUGUAUAUCUGUUCCAAGAUGGUGCUAAAUAUUCAAUAAAUACAUAUUGAACAAUGAGUCUGUACUUAAACAAAUUAACCCAUGUAUUCCAUAUGAUCUAGAGAUUGCCUUCUAAGCCAACAAAUCACAUUUAGUUAAUCACUUUAGAUAAUAUCAAUUCUCAAAGUUCUAUUUAGGUUUCUCAAUCCAUACGAGACAAUGUUCUACCAAAGAGCCCUCAAUACCAAAAAUAUUGCAUGGAUCUUGUAAUUGUCUCCUUGUUUGUUUCAUGUGAUAUCCCAAAAACAUGCAACUCUAGUGCUUCUCUUUGCAAUUCCAACAAAAAUUCAGCUUGAUCAUUUCAUUAUUUUCACCGUGGUUGGUGGUAAAUUCAAUCUCUCUUGAGGCUUGGUCUCAAACCUUGAAGAUCUGCGACAGUUUUUGGGUCAAGGGUUUAACUAGUUCUUCAUGAGCUUUGGUCCUUUGAUUUUUCAUUCAUUCUUUUUUUUUUUGGGUCAAGGUUUGACUAGUUCUUCACGAAGUCUUGAUCCAGCUUGGAUUUUUUUCACCAUUUUGAUUCUUCCAAAGAUUCCAUAUUGUCACUAAGAAAGUGCAGCACAACUGUUUUUGCCCUCGCUUAUUCUAUCACAUUCAUCUCCAUCGAUGCGACUUAAUGGAAAUGCAUGUAAGAGUUGUAAUUAAAAAAAAAACUAGACUGACAAUUUUUUAUCAAAUUGUGCAGCUGUGCAUGCUAACAACAACGUGAGACUCCCACCUCUUCUUCCUCUAUGUUAUUAAAGGCUAGGAUUCCUGGGGUCAGGGUUUUGCCAUCUUUGUGAGACUUAAUCUUGACCUUUGAUCUUGGAGAUAUGUGGGGUGAAGAGAUCUCAUCAUAUCCCUCUGUUUCCAUAACUCUAUUCCCAUCAAAUAUUGUGUAGAGAAAGUAAUAAAUCAAUCACAAUUAAUUUCUUUAUAUCUUCUUAUUUUGAAAUCAAUCACAAUUAAUUUCUUACACCUCCCUAUUUUGAAAUCCAUCAAACUCUCUACACAAAAGGUUUCCUAAAAUAUCAAGUCAACAUAUUGCAUAAUUGUUGUCUUUCAAUUUAGGAAAGUUUGGAGGAGGUGGGGCGCACCACCCAUAGGGUGGCCAUGUGGGUCCUACGUCCCAUAAUAUGGUGGGCCCAAUGUACCCCAAUAGGCCCCAAAUAUUUUAAGCAUAAUUUUAAAUAAUAAAAUAAUUUUAUAAAAUCUCAAAAUAUUUAUUUCUCUCUCUAAUUAAAAUGAAUCCAUAAAAUUGAUUUUUCUUAGUUAAAAAUCAUUUCUCAAUAAAAUAAAAUACCUAGAGAGGUCUAAAAAUUUAUUUUAAUUAUCUAAAAAAUAAUUAACAUAUCUAAGAAGAUUUGAUGUGAAGGAUCCAUAGAGUUAGGAUUACGACAAAUAUACUGAGGAGUCAUCCUCUCUAGAGAUUGUAUCUCACUGCACCUUCUCAAACUAACCCAAUAGUUGUCAUGACUCACAACCUCUCACAUGGGUUCAUGAUUGGACUAUCAAAUUCGGCCAACAAAGUGAUUCUGGCUUCCAAGCGUGGCUUUCCUUGGGCCUAUUGUUUCCAAAGAUGGGAUAGCAGUUGAUCCUUGCAAGAUUGAGGUUGUGCUUAAAUGGGAGAGACCAAUGAAUGUAUCUGAAGUUUGCAGAUUCCUAGGACUGGCGGGAUAUUACAAGUGUUUCGUAGAGGGAUUCUUGAAGAUAACACUUCCCCUAACCCGCCUAACCCAAAAGGAAAUCAAGUUUGCGUGGUUUGAUAACUGCAAGAGAAGUUUUCAAGAUAUCCCGCUAGGCUUGCAGGACCUCACCUUGUUUCACAGCUGCUCAAGUGAUUUUGAAACUUUUGGUUCAUGAAAUAAUGUAACAAAUUUUACGGUGAUGAUGGAGGAUUGGGGUAAGUUCUCGUCUCCUUGCGUUCCCUGUGAAAUGAAGAUGAGCUGCAGUUAAUAUUUAGUGUUUAAACUGAAUGGAUACCUUGUAUGCUUCAAUAUUCUAAUGCACUAACCCUGGUAUUGCUGGACCAAACCAUGUGAAGUUAUGAACAUUUGUUGCCGUGGGAUGUGUAGGGUUAUAUGCAUGCUCAUGAGUGUGGCUUGCUGCUGGACAUCAAUAUGUGUUAGAAGGCUUAUCAUCUUAAACAAGGGAGUCUAAAGUGAAUAUAGUUAAGUCUUUUGGAAGAAGAUGAAACAUAAAACUAGGAGAUGCAUGAAGCUUUUCUCAGUAAUGAGUAUUUACCUUAGGAUAUAUUCUCUUUUAAUAAUUCUUUUCUGGCAUGCAAUGAGAAAUGGAGCAUCAACAUGUGAACUAGUGCAAAUAUAAGGCUCACUGUUAUUAAGAGGAUAUGUUAUUUUCUGAGAUGGGAUUCUUCCUUGUUUUUUAUCUAAAUCAAAUGCAAUCGUCAUUCAUAAUUUGGUUGGUUUGGAAACAUAAGGGUGGUUUCUAUCAAUUUCAUGGUAGUAUAUGUUAAGUUUCUAGUCUGGCAACAUAUCUGUGAACUUUUAGGAAUUGUACCUUUUAUAAUUGACAAGCCUCUGCCAUUUAGUGGUUUUUUUUUAUUUUUUUUAUUUUUUGUUAAUUAAGAUAGUUGACUAUAAGGAAUGUUUCUUCAUGGAGAAAAAAAGACUACGAACGAUUGUUUCAUAUAGCUGUGACUUAUUCCUAGAUGCAUCCGAUUCUGAGUUGGCCAACUCAUCUGCCACUGUAUUUACCUUCUAAAAAAUGUAUUUAACAAGUUAUGGAGAACUGGUCUUGGUUUUGUUAGUUCUUUUGAAACUAUUGAUGGCUUUCCAAAUUUUCUAGAUGAUAGUGGCAGUAUCGAACUUUAUAAAACUGAUGGCUCAUUUGCAGUUACUCCUAUCUACCAUUGUUUUCUUGGUUUUUAAAUACUUAAAAAAAGUUCUUGGUUUUUUUUUGUUUUAAUAGACGCAUCAUUAAAAGGGAUGGGUAACUGUGGUUACCUAUAAUCCCUUUGCCGGAGCCCUACAUGCCCACAUUUUAGUCAAUUUGUUAUUGUUUUUCCUUUCCAGUGUGGUUGUAAAUAUUCAAUAAAUACAUAUUGAACAAUGAGUCUGUACUUCUACAAAAUAAACCAAUGUAUUCCAUAUGAUCUAGAGAUUGCCCUCUAAGCCAACAAAUCACAUUUAGUUAAUCACUUUAGAUAAUAUCAAUCAUCAAAGUUCUAUUUAGGCUUCUCACUCCAUACAAGGCUAUAUUAUUUCUGCCAAAGAGCCCUCAAUACCAAAAGUAUUGCCUGGAUCUUUUAAUUGUCUCCUUCUUUGUUUCAUGUGAUAUCCCAAAAUCAUGCAAGUCUACUGCUUCUCUUUGCAGCUCCAAAAAAAAUUCAGCUUGAUCAUUUCAUUAUUUUCUCCGUGGUUGGUGGUGAAUCCAAUCUCCCUUGAGGCUUGGGUCUCAAACGUUUAAGAUCUGCGAUUGUUUUUGGCUCAAGGGUUUAACUAGUACUUCACGAGCUUUGGUCCUUUGAUUUUUCAUUAUUUUUUUUUGGGUCAAGGGUUUGACUAGUUCUUCACGACGUCUUGAUCCAGCUUGGAUUUUUUUUCACCAUUUCGAUUCUUUGAAAGACUCCAUACUGUCACUAAGAAAGUGCAGCACAACUUAAUUCAAAAAAAAGAAAAAAAAAAACUAGACUGACAUUUUUUUAUCAUAUUGUGCAGUUGUACAUGCUAACAACAACAUGAGAGACCCACCUCUUCUUCCUCUACGAUAUUACAUUUGUUUACCAAGACUAAACCCCUAUGUUGGACAUGAUCCAUAGUUAUUUGGACUUAGCUGGUCACCAGCCCAAGCCCUGAUGGAGCAGUGGUACUUUGGCACACCCCUCUUGAAAGGUGGACAAUGUGAUCGGGCAAGU